rnacentral:tRNA from 1 species
GGCGCAUUCGUCUAGUGGCUAGGACACAGCGUUCUCAGCGCUGGAACAAGGGUUCGAUUCCCUUAUGCGCUACCA